rnacentral:lncRNA from 1 species
GAGUGCGCCCUUCUCGGGUCCCCUAGGUCGCGGGGCAGCCGGGGCGGAAGGGGCUUGUUCAUUAUUUUGAGAGUUUGUUGUGAACGUCAUAACCUUUCGUCCUUAAAUAUUGCCGAUACUUGACCUACGCAAGAGACAAUGUCAUGUGAUUCAGCCUAAUAUCUCAGAUGCAGCAUUCAAGGUUCUAUCUUGGAAGCAGAGACUGUGCCCUCACCAGAUGCUGAACCUGCUGAGCACCCUGAUCUUCCACUUCACCUUCAUCAGAACUACUGGGGCUGUGGCUGAGAUGUCACAUGGCAGAUAGGAUCACAAAUUUCUGUUGUAUCUGGAUGGAGAUCAGCAGGAGGAUCUAUGGGUGAGAAGAAGCACAGUUACAGAUGGAUUCUAGAGCCUGCUUGCUGACACAGGCUUGCAACUGCGGACUUUAUAAGCUUAGUUUUUAAUCUGCUAUCAGCUAGCAUAAUACCAUAAAUGCAUAAGAAACUAAGUAUUCAGUCUUACGAGAAAUGCUAUCUUGACCUGACCCUUUCUCCAAAUAAAUUGACAAAAUAUCUCAUCGUCUAGGAUGCCAGACAGAAAUACCAGUUGCAAUGUUUUGUUGCAUAAAGUUUAUCCUAAUUUAAAUUAGUGGCAUAUAAAGUCAUCAUCUUGCUUGAACAAACAUCUUAUUAAAUUGAGCAUGUCUUUUAUCCCAUGAAAUGAAAUUAAUUUUGAGAUAGUUAUUUUUCAGUUGGAAAUUUAUUGAGUUGAUAGAAAACAAGUUAUAUAGUCUUCCAAAGAAUAUGUUACAUCCAUUUGCAUUUUGUUUUUCUUCAGCAAUGUUUGGUUUUUAGAAAAUCUUACAAGUUAAAUAUACUAAUGUAGAAAUUGAAAGAAAAUAAUCAGAGAUAGAGCAAUAAAUUUGCAAAUAAAGAUUAUUCUUAAAACAAA